rnacentral:rRNA from 1 species
AGAGUUUGAUCAUGGCUCAGAACGAACGCUGGCGGCGUGCUUAACACAUGCAAGUCGAGUGCGCGGUUGUAGCAAUACAACUGGCGCACGGCGCACGGGUGCGUAACACGUGGGCAAUCUGCCCUUCGAUGGGGAAUAACUCCGGGAAACCGAAGCUAAUUCCGCAUAACAUUCCUUGGACCUCGGUUCGAGGACUCAAAGCCGUAAGGCGUCGAGGGAGGAGCCCGCGCACGAUUAGCUAGUUGGUAGGGUAACGGCCUACCAAGGCUUUGAUCGUUAGCUGGUCUGAGAGGAUGGCCAGCCACACUGGAACUGAGACACGGUCCAGACUCCUACGGGAGGCAGCAGUGGGGAAUCUUGCACAAUGGGCGAAAGCCUGAUGCAGCGACGCCGCGUGGGGGAUGAAGCAUUUCGGUGUGUAAACCCCUUUCGACCCGGACGAAUGCCUCGCAAGAGGAGUGACGGUACGGGUAUAAGAAGCCCCGGCUAACUACGUGCCAGCAGCCGCGGUAAGACGUAGGGGGCCAGCGUUGUUCGGAAUUACUGGGUGUAAAGGGUUCGUAGGCGGUGUGGCAAGUUGGGAGUGAAAUCUCUGGGCUCAACCCAGAGGCUGCUUCCAAAACUGCUGUGCUUGAGUGUGGGAGAGGCGCGUGGAAUUGCAGGUGUAGCGGUGAAAUGCGUAGAUAUCUGCAGGAACACCCGCGGCGAAAGCGGCGCGCUGGACCACUACUGACGCUGAGGAACGAAAGCUAGGGGAGCAAACAGGAUUAGAUACCCUAGUAGUCC